rnacentral:piRNA from 1 species
UCUUGUGAGCCAUGCAAGUUGGAAAC